AUUGAACGCUGGCGGCAGGCCUAACACAUGCAAGUCGAGCGGAUGAAGGGAGCUUGCUCCUGGAUUCAGUGGCGGACGGGUGAGUAAUGCCUAGGAAUCUGCCUGGUAGUGGGGGAUAACGUCCGGAAACGGGAGCUAAUACCGCAUACGUCCUGAGGGAGAAAGGGGGGGAUCUUCGGACCUCACGCUAUCAGAUGAGCCUAGGUCGGAUUAGCUAGUUGGUAGGGUAAAGGCCUACCAAGGCGACGAUCCGUAACUGGUCUGAGAGGAUGAUCAGACACACUGGAACUGAGACACGGUCCAGACUCCUACGGGAGGCAGCAGUGGGGAAUCUUGGACAAUGGGCGAAAGCCUGAUCCAGCCAUGCCGCGUGUGUGAAGAAGGUCUUCGGAUUGUAAAGCACUUUAAGUUGGGAGGAAGAGCAGUAAGUUAAUACCUUGCUGUUUUGACGUUACCAACAGAAUAAGCACCGGCUAACUUCGUG
rnacentral:rRNA from 1 species